rnacentral:misc_RNA from 1 species
UUUCCGUAGGUGAACCUGCGGAAGGAUCAUUAUUGAAUGAAACACUUCUGGCUUUAUGCAGUUGUGCUGGCCCUUUGGGCAAUGUGCACACGGCUCUGGUCACUUGUUUCUUCUGUUCCACCUGUGCACUGCCUGUAGACACGCUGUGUCUAUGAUAUUUGUUAACACACAACAAUGUUAGUUGGCAUGUUAUAUAUAAUAAUAAAAUAUACAACUUUCAACAACGGAUCUCUUGGCUCUC